rnacentral:rRNA from 1 species
CUUCCCCUACGGGAGGCAGCAGUGAGGAAUAUUGGUCAAUGGACGGAAGUCUGAACCAGCCAUGCCGCGUGCAGGAAGACGGCUCUAUGAGUUGUAAACUGCUUUUGUACAAGGGUAAACCUGAAUACGUGUAUUCAGCUGAAAGUACUGUACGAAUAAGGAUCGGCUAACUCCGUGCCAGCAGCCGCGGUAAUACGGAGGAUCCAAGCGUUAUCCGGAUUUAUUGGGUUUAAAGGGUGCGUAGGUUGUUUUAUAAGUUAGCGGUGAAAUACCGAUGCUCAACAUCGGGGCUGCCGCUA